CGGGAUGUAAUUCAGUGGUCAGAAGCCUUGGUUUGGGACCAAGGAGUCGUGGGUACCGCUUCGCGGAAGCAAGCUACAAAUCCUACCAUCCCGACCA
rnacentral:tRNA from 1 species